AAUACGUUCCCGGGCCUUGUACACACCGCCCGUCACACCACGAAAGUCGGCAACACCCGAAGCCGGUGGCCCAACCCCUAGGGGAGGGAGCCGUCGAAGGUGGGGUCGGUGAUUGGGGUG
rnacentral:rRNA from 1 species